rnacentral:rRNA from 1 species
GAUGAACGCUGGCGGCGUGCCUAAUACAUGCACGUCGAGCGAACGGACGAGAAGCUUGCUUCUCUGAUGUUAGCGGCGGACGGGUGAGUAACACGUGGAUAACCUACCUAUAAGACUGGGAUAACUUCGGGAAACCGGAGCUAAUACCGGAUGAUAUUUUGAACCGCAUGGUUCAAAAGUGAAAGACGGUCUUGCUGUCACUUAUAGAUGGAUCCGCGCUGCAUUAGCUAGUUGGUAAGGUAACGGCUUACCAAGGCAACGAUGCAUAGCCGACCUGAGAGGGUGAUCGGCCACACUGGAACUGAGACACGGUCCAGACUCCUACGGGAGGCAGCAGUAGGGAAUCUUCCGCAAUGGGCGAAAGCCUGACGGAGCAACGCCGCGUGAGUGAUGAAGGUCUUCGGAUCGUAAAACUCUGUUAUUAGGGAAGAACAUAUGUGUAAGUAACUGUGCACAUCUUGACGGUACCUAAUCAGAAAGCCACGGCUAACUACGUG